GGCGGGGGAGCACUACAACGGGUGGAGCCUGCGGUUUAAUUGGAUUCAACGCCGGAAAACUCACCGGGUGCGACAGCAAUAUGUAGGUCAGGCUGAAGGUCUUACCUGAAUCGCUGAGAGGAGGUGCAUGGCCGUCGUCAGUUCGUACUGUGAAGCAUCCUGUUAAGUCAGGCAACGAGCAAGACCCGUGCCCACAGUUGCCAGCAUUUUCGCAAGAAAGAUGGGCACACUGUGGGGACCGCCGCUGCUAAAGCGGAGGAAGGUGCGGGCUACGGUAGGUCAGUAUGCCCCGAAUGACCCGGGCUACACGCGGGCUACAAUGGCUGGGACAAUGGGCACCCACACCGAAAGGUGGAGGUAAUCCCCUAAACCCAGCCCUAGUUCGGAUUGAGGGCUGCAACUCGCCCUCAUGAAGCCGGAAUCCGUAGUAAUCGCGUAUCAAC
rnacentral:rRNA from 1 species